rnacentral:rRNA from 1 species
AUUGAACGCUGGCGGAAUGCUCUACACAUGCAAGUCGAACGAUGAACCUUAGCUUGCUAAGGGAAUUAGUGGCGAACGGGUGAGUAAUGUAUCGGAACGUAUCCAAUAAUGGGGGAUAACUAGUCGAAAGAUUAGCUAAUACCGCAUACGUCCUACGGGAGAAAGCUAGGGACCUUCGGGCCUGGCGUUAAUGGAGCGGCCGAUAUCUGAUUAGCUAGUUGGUGGGGUAAAGGCUCACCAAGGCGACGAUCAGUAGCUGGGCUGAGAGGACUACCAGCCACACUGGAGCUGAGACACGGUCCAGACUCCUACGGGAGGCAGCAGUGGGGAAUUUUGGACAAUGGGCGCAAGCCUGAUCCAGCCAUUCCGCGUGAGUGAAGAAGGCCUUCGGGUUGUAAAGCUCUUUCGCAAGGGAAGAAAACUUAAGCUCUAACAUAGCUUGAGGUUGACGGUACCUUGAUAAGAAGCACCGGCUAACUACGUGCCAGCCGCCGCAGUAA